UACGUAGGGCGCAAGCGUUGUCCGGAAUUAUUGGGCGUAAAGAGCUUGUAGGCGGUUUGUCGCGUCUGCCGUGAAAAUCCGGGGCUCAACCCCGGACUUGCGGUGGGUACGGGCAGACUAGAGUGUGGUAGGGGAGACUGGAAUUCCUGGUGUAGCGGUGAAAUGCGCAGAUAUCAGGAGGAACACCGAUGGCGAAGGCAGGUCUCUGGGCCACUACUGACGCUGAGAAGCGAAAGCAUGGGGAGCGAACAGG
rnacentral:rRNA from 1 species